AUUGAACGCUAGCGGGAUGCUUUACACAUGCAAGUCGAACGAGUGGCGGACGGGUGAGUAAUAUAUCGGAAAGUGCCCAGUAGCGGGGGAUAACUACUCGAAAGAGUGGCUAAUAACGACUACUAUUGAAGAGGCCAAUAUCGGAUUAGCUAGUUGGUGGGGUAAAGGCUCACAAAGGCAACGAUCCGUAGCGGGUUUGAGAGGACAACCAGCCACACUGGGACGAGGACACGGCCAAGAGUCCUACGGAGGGCGGCAGUGGGAAAUUUUGGACAAUGGGGGAAGCCCUGAUCAAGCCAUCCCGCGUGUAUGAGAAGGCCUUCGGGUUGUAAAGUACUUUUGGCAGGGAAGCGGUAUCUGCAGAAUAAGCACCGGCUAACUACGUGCCAGCAGCCGCGGUAAUUC
rnacentral:rRNA from 1 species